UACGUAGGAGGCAAGCGUUGUCCGGAGUUACUGGGCGUAAAGCGCACGCAGGCGGUCUGUCGCGUGGCCACUGACAGUUUGUGGCUUAACCACAAAAGGCGUGACCAAACGGACAGACUUGAGGGCUUCAGAGGAAGAGAGAAUUCCAGGUGUAGCGGUGAAAUGCGUAGAUAUCUGGAGGAACACCGGUGGCGAAGGCGGCAUUCUGGACCGACAUUGACGCUGAGGAGCGAAAGCCAGGGGAGCAAACGGG
rnacentral:rRNA from 1 species